rnacentral:sRNA from 1 species
CCUCUUCGAUCUGCUGCGGGCAGAUGAAGUGGAUGUGGCUGUCGAUGCCACCCGCGGUGACGAUGUUGCCUUCACAACUGAUCACUUCAGUGCCCGGGCCGAUGAUGAUGUCCACGCCGGGCUGCACGUCGGGGUUACCCGCCUUGCCAAUGGCAACGAUGCGGCCACCUUUGAGGCCAAUGUCGGCCUUGACAAUGCCCCAGUGGUCCAGGAUCAGCGCGUUGGUCAUCACGGUGUCCACCGCGCCCUCAGACCGCAUCUUUUGCGACUGCGCCAUGCCGUCGCGGAUG